AUGGUACAUGGCAGAUGGACAUUUCUGAAACCUAGUCACAGAAAUAGCAGAAUAAACACUCACAGAAGCCCCUUCAUGCCACAGGAAUGUUGUUCUAACAGGACCUUCCUGAAAGUGUCCUCUACGUUGAUGCCAUCUUCUGUCCCCACAUGGAGCUUCAUGGGAA
rnacentral:lncRNA from 1 species